GGGGGUGGAAAGACAUGCAAGUUUUGCAAAAUCACACAAGGUUUCGAUAAAUCAAUAUCACAUAUUUAUAAACCAUUUUGCGACAGAAUUUCAACGAACUCAAAUGGUUUACGAAAAGAUUAUACUAAACAUACCGGUUUUAUGAAAACAUAAGUGUUUUUCGAAACAUGCAUGAGUUUUAAUAACACAAAUGACGUGGGCAAAGGCCCAAGGACAUGAAUAACUCACACAUUAUACGUUAACUAGGGUAUGGUUAAGCUAGGGAAUGAACUGUUAGAUCAGGUGAGCGAAUAGUAAUCUCUCUUAAGUGCCAUUAAUCUUGUAUAAGACCGAGGGCAAAAGUGGUAGAUCUAUCGGGUGUAGCGAGCCCCACUCUUGGGUCCUUGUGUGGCCCAUGUAGUGCUUUUGUUGUUCUAACCGGGUGGACCGGGGGAAAUCCGCUAGGGUUGAGUGCUUCCUAUGUCGCCACACAUAUUAAUGUCCUUGCAAAACAUUAAUGAUCUGUUCAUAGACGCUUACAUACCAGUUUUAAUACUCAGAUUUUCAAAUGUUUUUAAGAUUCAUUUGAAGUAAACUCACAAAUACAUGGAUUUACAAACUUUGGUAACGU
rnacentral:lncRNA from 1 species